rnacentral:rRNA from 1 species
GACGAACGCUGGCGGCGUGCUUAACACAUGCAAGUCGAACGGAAAGGCCCUGCUUGCAGGGUACUCGAGUGGCGAACGGGUGAGUAACACGUGGGUGAUCUGCCCUGCACUUCGGGAUAAGCCUGGGAAACUGGGUCUAAUACCGGAUAGGAGCCAGUUUUAGUGUGAUGGUUGGAAAGUUUUUUCGGUGUAGGAUGAGCUCGCGGCCUAUCAGCUUGUUGGUGGGGUAAUGGCCUACCAAGGCGGCGACGGGGAGCCGGCCUGAGAGGGUGGACGGCCACAUUGGGACUGAGAUACGGCCCAGACUCCUACGGGAGGCAGCAGGGGGGAAUAUUGCACAAUGGGCGCAAGCCUGAGGCAGCGACGCCGCGUGGGGGAUGACGGCCUUCGGGUUGUAAACUCCGUUCGCUAGGGACGAAGCGUUUUGUGACGGUACCUAGAUAAGAAGCACCGGCUAACUACGUG